rnacentral:rRNA from 1 species
GGCCGAAAAUCUAAGGUUUCUUGGGGAAGGUUCGUCCGCCCAAGGUAAGCCGGGAGCUAAGGCGAGGCCGAAAGGCGUAGUCGAUGCACAUACGGUUGAAAUUCCGUAGCCACCUUAUCGUUAAAAGCUGACACAUAGAGAUAGCCGAACCCGGGCGUUGGUUGACCCGGGCGAAAGGGACCGAACUACAGUAGGGAAGUCGGCGAUGCUCUGUGGCGAGAAAAGGCGAAGAUAGGGUGCCCGUACCGCAAACCGACACAGGUAGAUGAGGAGAGAAUCCUAAGGCCAACGGGAGAAAGGUUGUUAAGGAACUCGGCAAAAUUGCCCCGUAACUUCGGGAGAAGGGGCGCCCUCGAAAGAGGGCCGCAGUGAAAAGGCCCAAGCGACUGUUUACCAAAAACACAGGUCUCUGCUAAAUCGAAAGAUGACGUAUAGGGGCUGACGCCUGCCCGGUGCUGGAAGGUUAAGAGGAGGACUUAGCGCAAGCGAAGGUCUGAAUUUAAGCCCCAGUAAACGGCGGCCGUAACUAUAACGGUCCUAAGGUAGCGAAAUUCCUUGUCAGGUAAGUUCUGGCCCGCACGAAUGGCGUAACGAUUUGGGCACUGUCUCAACAGCCUACCCGGCGAAAUUGUAGUACCGGUGAAGAUGCCGGUUACCCGCAACUAGACGGAAAGACCCCAUGGAGCUUUACUGCAGCUUAAUACUGAGAUUCGGUAAUUCAUGUACAGGAUAGGUGGGAGACUUAGAAACAGGGUCGUCAGGCACUGCGGAGUCACCCUUGGGAUACCACCCUUGGAUUGCUGGGUUUCUAACCUGCGGCCAUGAAUCUGGUCGGGGGACACUGUUAGGCGGGCAGUUUGACUGGGGCGGUCGCCUCCUAAAAAGUAGCGGAGGCGCUCAAAGCUUGGCUCAGCAUGGAUGGAAAUCAUGCAAUGAGUGUAAACGUAUAAGCCAAGUUGACUGCGAGACCGACGGGUCGAGCAGGUACGAAAGUAGGAGUUAGUGAUCCGGUGGUAUGUGAGUGGAAAUGCCAUCGCUCAACGGAUAAAAGCUACCCUGGGAUAACAGGCUGAUCUCCCCCAAGCGUCCACAGCGACGGGGAGGUUUGGCACCUCGAUGUCGGCUCGUCGCAUCCUGGGGCUGUAUUCGGUCCCAAGGGUUUGGCUGUUCGCCAAUUAAAGCGGCACGCGAGCUGGGUUCAGAACGUCGUGAGACAGUUCGGUCCCUAUCUGUUGCGGGCGUAAGAGAUUUGAAGGGAGCUGUCCUUAGUACGAGAGGACCGGGAUGGACUGACCGCUGGUGCACCAGUUGUCCUGCCAAGGGCAUAGCUGGGUAGCUACGUCGGGACGAGAUAAACGCUGAAGGCAUCUAAGCGUGAAACUCCCCCUAAGAUAAGAUCUCUCAUCCUUUAUGGAGUAAGGCUCGUCGUAGACUAUGACGUUGAUAGGUCAGAGGUGGAAGCGCCGUAAGGUGUGUAGCUGACUGAUACUAAUAAGCCGAGGGCUUGAC